GGGAAAUAAAAAUUUGUGGGCUAACAACAGUGAUUGCAGAUAAUGUCAUAGUAAUUGGAAAUUGUUUUUGCUCACUAUUGUACAUAAUGUAGUUACACAUAAUCCAAAAUAUAGAAACAUUUCUAUAUUGUCCACUGAAGUAGAUUGCUCAGUCUUUAAAAAAAAAAAAAAAGUUUUUUGUUUCAUAUCGACUGCUAUUGAAAUACAAGAGUUAUUUAAGAAAGAUGAAAAAAAGGAACAGUAUGUAAAUGGGGAAGUGAAGAAAUAUUAAUGGGGGCUAGAAGAAAGAGAAAUGGGAAAUACAUGCAAUUUGAAAGAGAGCUUUGAUUACUAAUUUAUGUAAUCAACUGAACUUAUUCUCGAGAUUAAACUGCUUAGAAAUGCAUGUAAAUUGUUAAUUAUAGUAUGGCUUAUUAUUCACCAUGUUUCCUUAACUCUCAUCAGAAUAACUGUGAUUUUGAUUUAACCACGGUCAUUAUACCAAGUUAUCAGAAGUUGACUGUACUUCAUGAAGUGAUGAUCUGUGUUCAAGACAUUUUAGCACUACUAAAAGGAAGUUAAGAAGAAAUUGUGAUUGAAUUCUGGGAAAUACUGUAUAUUAACAAACUCAAAUAAUAUGUAAUAGGGAGUGCAGGACUUCUACUCUACUGACACAAAUAGACUGUCUCAUCCAGGAAGUUCCUAAAGAAAUUGGUCUUAACAUUAUGGAUGAGUUAGCACAGACUGAACCAGUUCUUAGUGAUGAUGUUGCAUCAUCAUCAGCAACAACUGAUAGGUGAGCUCAUGAAGAUGCACUUACUAGCAGAUUGAAAAACUUUGUUAUUUACUUUUUAUAUUUUAACAUCUUGUUCAUGAAUAUUUUUUAAAAUUAUAAUUGUUCCUCUCUUUAGCUAAAUACAUGAAGUGUUUUCGAUUUUCGUUAACUAAUUUAGAAUUUCCCUUACCUCUGUGGUUUAAGAUUUAGGUAAUUUAUCAAAACCUUGAAACAACUUUGAAAACCUUGAAACUUUCAAACCUUGAAAUUCCAUCAUACAUUAUUUUUCUAUCCUUAAGCUUGUAAUUGAGGAGGUAUCUGGUUUAGUAGCAACUAAACUAAUCUCUUCACAUGUUGCUCAUACUUAAGUUAGAUAAUACAAUUAACUUAAUUCAGUUUCAGCAAGGAGCCUUAUGGCAAUAUUAACCACACUCUCUUAGGCUGUAUUACUCUGCAUAACAAUUUAAACAAAUUCGCAUCACAUAUUCUAACAACACUGCAUUUAGGUUUAACAUCUAACUUGGCAUAUUAAAUUCUGAACUGAGAUCUUAAAGACUUAAUGGAUUUCAAGAAGCAUCUGGAAUGCAGACAUUCUGAAAUAUAGCUGUUUUUCUCAAUGCCAUAUGCCAACAGUUUUACUGAAAUUGUGCCAUGACCAUAUUCUUUUAUUGUUGAACUGUUUUCAAACUCAAACUUUUAUUUAACAUUCAUACUAUCUUCAACCAAUAAUUUUCUGGCCUCACUAUGGCCAAGUGGUUAAGAGUGCUGAACACUGAUAGUUUGACCUGAUUUGGUUUUGAUCCCAGGUAAGAAGGCUGGUUGUGUGGUUGGUUUUCUUCAUGUGUAACAUGAUUAUGAGCCAGUUUUUCUUAAGUGCCUCUGCAAAGGCAUUCCGCUUCUUAGGAGAUAGCCCUUGUGAUCCAUAUUCAAGUUCGUCUAACCUAACCAAUACUUUAUGUUAGUAAUGUAUUUAGUGAUGUUGGCUGCUGUAUUGUUGUGCCAAUGUUUGAAUCCCAGAGAAGGCUGGAUGUUUUUGUCAAUGUGGCAUGGAAGCGCUUAAAAUUCUGGUGAGCCAAAAGCAGUUCUGAAGUAGAGAAAAAGGGGGAAGACCUUCAGAUCUCUCCUCCAGUGUGAUUUCCCUUGGAAUUGAGGCUGAGCUAUGUAGGUAGUGUGAUGGGACUACACCUAUAUAGCUAGUGGUAAUUCUUGUGUCUUGCUUCUUCUACUUGUACCUUUUAGCAAUAUGUUGUAUACCUCCAGUAUCUCUAACUCACGUAUCAUAACUUUCUGAAGGUCAAGCACUUAAAAAUGUAUCUCUCCUUUCAUUGUCAUGCUCAUCAUUAGUUUAAUGUUUCUAAAAUUUACAAUCCUGUGUCAAGUGUCCUCUUUUUCCACUCUGAAAAAAUUUCUAUUAUGCCUCAUGUCUGUUUGGACUUCUGCCUCAUUUUGAUUUACAUCUUCUUCCUGAAUUAAAAAUAUGACAUUUUCCAAGAUUAGCUUUGGUUAUAAGCUCAAGUUAAUUUUCUGUGGAGGAUUGUGAGGGUCUUCUCUGCUGUUCGAAGCUAAACCUUCCUUUAGUUCUGUCAGUGUAUGCUUCGCUUCUGGUUGUACACAUCAAGCCAUUUUUAAUGGUUCAGAAUCACUGGAUAGUGUUUCUAAAAGUUUGGUCAUAAUAAAUUACUCGGUUUAAUGGCUGAAUCAUGCAUCUGUAGUAUAAGAUGCUCUAAUUUUGCUAUGUGUAUGGCCAUUGUAUCUGUUGGAUCACGUAUGAACAAUAAGAACUGCAAUUAACAUGUAUAUUGUGCUUGCACGUUUUGCUGUUCAAACAACUUGCAUAGUUUCAACCAUAUUUCUCAAGCCAUUCUACUUAUGAUUAAAAAUUCUCAUGCUUUUUACUCUGUGAUUAUAAAAAUAUGUUUAUCAUGUUUCCCUAUGUAUAAAAUAUAAAUUGAAAGAAGUGUAAAACUUUUGGGUACCAAAAGAUGUGAUGACACUUGUAAUUUUAUAGCAACAGAAAAGUAGUUCAAAUGUGUGGUUGUUGCAGUAGCAUUUUUUUAUUCAUUCUUGAAACAUUAGUACUUUCUUGUUAUUUACUAUUAAACUGUUUUUUCUUGUUCAAGCGUUACAUGAGGGGCUUAUCCAAAUGAUUACUCCAGCUUUGCAGAAAUGUAUUUCUACAACUUUUUUUUUGUAGUCUGUACACUUAGCUUUUGUUUCAUAUAUACUGUGAUUGCUUGGUUUGGGCAUAUUUUAUUAUGCUGCAUACAUAAAUUUUCCAUAGCUAGUAAACUGAUCUUUCAUAGCAAACAGGAAUUCUAAAGUUAUCAGUUAUUUGAAACAAAAUGUAUUAUGCAAAGCAUAUGUUGAAUUAUAUUCUGCUAGUGAAGAUGGAAUUUUUUUGCAUUUUAAGUAUUUAACUUGAUUGUUUCAUAUAGCAUCUGAAGUAAUCUUCUUUUCAUGGAUUAUAUUUAAUAUAUUUUCAUAUAUCAUCUGGUGUAUGUCUUAUUUUCAUGGAUUAUAUUUAAUAAAACUUUUUUUAUGAGCUGUAUCAAUCAGCUGCUGCAUAGCUUACAUUAAAAUUUUAGAAAGAAUAAGUUGUACCAAAUUAAAAACCUUGCAAUUAGCAUCAUGUAUAUGUUGCAUAAUUAAAUGUCUUUCAUCUAUACUGUUUGCAUGCACUAGUUGAAAUGUCUGUUGUUCUGUUAAUGUUAAUAACUUUUAACUUCUAGUACCAGUGCAUUAUGAACAUAUCUGGUGUAGAAUACACAUACUUUAAUAUGUGUGUUCUAAAUGGGACUGUCAUAACUUCACGAAAUAUAUACGAUUCACUGUUUAUAUUUGUAAGACGAGGCAUAUGUCAUUUUUCCUGUUGCUGCAAUUCAGCAAACUAGUAUAUUUUGACUAAACAAGACAGUUUCAACAUUUUCCUGAAAUUGCACUGCAAAAUGAGUUAUUGUUUAAGAUUAAAAGAAGGGAAGAAGAUGCUAUUAUCAAAAUAGAAGAAGAAGGGAGAUGCUAUUAUCAAAGAUAUAAUAUGUAGAGUAUGUAGCUUUAUAUUGCUAGUUUUGGAAAUAUGAAAAAAUCUUUCAUCCAUUUCUUCAUAUUGCAUGAAUGGAAUUUUUACUCUCAUGUAAUCACUUUACAUAGUUCCCUUUAUGAUUCACAUUUUCAGGCCUCGCAUUCAAACAUGUCAUUCAAAUAAUUUGUGCAUCUGUUAUUCAGUUUUAUAUGCUGAAGUUGAGAAAAUUAAACAUUUUAAGAUUUUCUUAUGCCAUAAUUUAUAAUAUUGCUUUGUUUUUGGUUUUGCAUACCUAAGACAUGUGAUGAAUUGUGCUGUACAUUUUUAAAUGAUAAAAGUAGAGGCUAACCAGCUUUUAUUUGUUUUCACUCAUUUUGUUUGUUGAACCUGCAUAGAUUAAAUACACAUGUACAUAGAAAGUUCAGUAUAUGUGCAUUAAAGUUUAUUGCGGUUUAGGUUGGUGUAAAAAAUUUGCUACAGCAAGAUUAUCAGAUUAAAGCUGCAAAGUAUUUAAAACUUCGAAAAAUACCUUUAUUAAAAUUGUUUUUAAAAUAUGGUAUGAAACCUGAGAAUUGCUUCCAGCAUGAGGUAUUUAAUUAAUUAUUAUUAUUUUUUUUUUUGUGGGGGGAGGUCUAUUUAGGCUUGUUUGCUUUGAAGAAUUAGGUCAUGCACUUCAGAAAUUACUUUUUGGAAACAAAUAUCAAUGUCUUUAUCCAGAACUUGUUCUUUAUAUAAUUUGUCUUAAUGUCUCAGAAAUUUUGAAAGAACUCUUACCUUUAUUGACUUGCACCGUCUAAAUUUGCUACUUUUAAAAAUAAAAAUUUCUUCUUAAUUUACUUUUUGCAAAAUACAUUUGCUAAUCAUUUAAAUUAUUCAGAUCAUAUAAUAAGUUGUUAUAGUGCAAGUCUGCAUGUAUUUAUCAUCUUUCUUUCAUAAAUAGUAAACUGAAUUUUACCGAAGUGCAUCAUCUUUAUUAAUUUGAGUUACUUUCAAAUUAUGCUGUGUAGAAUGUUUUUAAAAAUAAAUUAUUUCUAGUAAAAAAUUUCAGUUGAAAUGUAUAAAUUAAAAUAAACUUAAAAUUGUGUAUGUUAUGUAUAUUACUGAAAAUCAAAAUGCAUUUUUCUGUAAAAUUGUAAUUUGUAAUAUUUAAAAUUAUAUGUCAAAGCAUUAAAAAUGUUUUAUUUUGUUCUACAUGAGGUGAUAAUAAAAGAAAUUCAAACUCUUUCUUCGUAAUUGUUGAUUUCUAGUUGUGUAAGCAAUUUUAUUGAUUAAAAAAUUUCAAAUUGUUAUUUCCAUUUGGUGUAUGAUGUUUCUAAUAUUAUAAUGAGAAACUAAUUGUGAGAUAGUUCAUGCAUGAUUUCCAUGAGCCUUUGUGUUCCUUUGUGGUCUUAUUUUUCGCUCUUUUGUGAUAAUAAAUAUUCAUAUCAAAUGUAGUUAUUUA
rnacentral:lncRNA from 1 species